GGUAUGCUGGGGCCGUGGGCGGGGGUAGUAAAGGGGGGGGAAGCGUUAUUGGGAAUUAUGGGGGGUAAAGGUGGAGUAGGCGGUUGCUUAAGUCGUGUGGGCAAGCCCCGGGCGCAACCCGGGAACUGCAUACGUGACGGGGAGGCUAGAGUACUGGAGAGGUUGGUGGAAUGCCUCGUGGAGCGGUGAAAUGCGUAGAGAUGAGGAGGAACACCAGUGGCGAAGGCGGCCAACUGGACAGUAACUGACGCUGAGGCGCGAAAGCGUGGGUAGCAAACAGGAUUAGAUACCCGUGUAGUC
rnacentral:rRNA from 1 species